rnacentral:lncRNA from 1 species
UUUGCAGGUAUAUGGGUACGAUAACUGGGAUAGGUGACCUCGAUUCUGUUCGGUGGCCAAACUCUCUCUGGAGAACUCUAAAAGUGAGGAGCAUUGCUUUCGCGAUUGAUCACCAACUUACACGAAAGAUCUUGAUCUUUGCAGGUUGGCUGGGACGAGUCGACUGCCGGGCAGAGACAAAGACGCGUGUCGCUGUGGGAGAUAGAACCACUCACUGCUCCCUACUUCCCAUGCACGUCCUCGCUCUUCCUGAGAAAGAGAACUCGACUUGAUGGUAUGUACGAGUAAGUAGCAGAAAUAACAAAUGAGUUACCAGGCUUUCUUUUUGCGCAGGCGAGCUGGACGAGCUGGACGCGAUCCGGUCUCAAGUGUGGGCUCGAGCAGAGGACGGGAAGAUGGAC